rnacentral:rRNA from 1 species
GCUUGUCUCAAAGAUUAAGCCAUGCAUGUCUAAGUAUAAAUCUUUUACUUUGAAACUGCGAACGGCUCAUUAUAUCAGUUAUAGUUUAUUUGAUAGUCCCUUACUACUUGGAUAACCGUAGUAAUUCUAGAGCUAAUACAUGCGUCAAUACCCUUCUGGGGUAUUGACGCAUGUAUUAGAUACAAAACCAACCCGGGCAACCGGUCCUUUGGUGAUUCAUGAUAACUUUGCGAAUCGCAUAGCUUUAAUGCUGGCGAUGGGUCAUUCAAAUUUCUGCCCUAUCAACUUUCGACGGUAGGAUAGAGGCCUACUGUGGUGAUAACGGGUAACGAAGAAUAAGGGUUCGAUUUCGGAGAGGGAGCCUGAGAAACGGCUACCACAUCCAAGGAAGGCAGCAGG